rnacentral:misc_RNA from 1 species
UCCGAGUUGACCCCGGCAGUCUCCUGAGAGUCCCCGGCAUCACCCGCUGGCAACAUGGAACAAGGGUUGCGCUCGUUGCGGGACUUAACCCAACAUCUCACGACACGAGCUGACGACAGCCAUGCAGCACCUGUGCACGGACUCCGAAGAGGGCGCCCCGUUCCUGGGGCGUUUCCCGUACAUGUCAAGCCUAGGUAAGGUUCUUCGCGUUGCGUCGAAUUAAACCACAUGCUCCACCGCUUGUGCGGGCCCCCGUCAAUUCCUUUGAGUUUCAGCCUUGCGGCCGUACUCCCCAGGCGGGGCACUUAAUGCGUUAGCGCCGGCACCCGGAGGGUCGCUCCCCCAGGCACCUAGUGCCCAUCGUUUACGGCGUGGACUAC